GACGAACGCUGGCGGCGUGCUUAACACAUGCAAGUCGAACGGAAAGGCCCUGCUUUUGUGGGGUGCUCGAGUGGCGAACGGGUGAGUAACACGUGAGUAACCUGCCCUUGACUUUGGGAUAACUUCAGGAAACUGGGGCUAAUACCGGAUAGGAGCUCCUGCUGCAUGGUGGGGGUUGGAAAGUUUCGGCGGUUGGGGAUGGACUCGCGGCUUAUCAGCUUGUUGGUGGGGUAGUGGCUUACCAAGGCUUUGACGGGUAGCCGGCCGGAGAGGGUGACCGGGGAGAUGGGGAGGAAGGGACGACCAGGGCGCCUACUGGAGGCAGCAGGGGGGAGUAUGGAACAAGGGGCGGGAGGCUGAAGCCGGAGCGCCGCGUGCGGGAUGACGGCGUUGGGGUAUUAAAAAGCGUGCGCCGGGGACGCAGCGUGAGGGAAGGGAAUGGGGAAAAAAGAACCGGCUAACUAAGUG
rnacentral:rRNA from 1 species